UGGGGGAUUUUGCACAAUGGGCGCAAGCCUGAUGCAGCGACGCCGCGUGAGGGAUGAAGGCCUUCGGGUUGUAAACCUCUUUCGCUGGGUUGAAAGGCCAUGCUUUGGGUGUGGUUGAUUUGAACUGGUAAAGAAGUACCGGCUAACUACGUGCCAGCAGCCGCGGUAAUACGUAGGGUACUAGCGUUGUCCGGAUUUAUUGGGCGUAAAGGGCUUGUAGGUGGUUUGUCGCGUCUGUCGUGAAAUCCUGUGGCUUAACCAUGGGCUUGCGGUGGGUACGGGCAGGCUUGAGUGCGGUAGGGGAGACUGGAAUUCCUGGUGUAGCGGUGGAAUGCGCAGAUAUCAGGAGGAACACCGAUGGCGAAGGCAGGUCACUGGGCCGUUACUGACACUGAGGAGCGAAAGCGUGGGGAGCGAACAGG
rnacentral:rRNA from 1 species